AAACGCCUAGUUAAAUUUAAUUUCAGAUAAACAGCAAAUUUUAUUUUAGCAUAAGUAUAUUCCAUGCAAGCUUUGGGACAUACUUAUGCUAAACGAUUAUUCAUCAUUCAUCAAAAUUCAAAUUGAACUGGGUCUGCUGUAUUUU
rnacentral:pre_miRNA from 14 species